AGCUAGUUGGUGGGGUAAUGGCCUACCAAGGCGACGAUGGGUAGCCGGCCUGAGAGGGUGUCCGGCCACACUGGGACUGAGAUACGGCCCAGACUCCUACGGGAGGCAGCAGUCGAGAAACUUCGGCAAUGGGCGAAAGCCUGACCGAGCGAUGCCGCGUGAGCGAAGAAGGUCCUUUGGAUUGUAAAGCUCUGUCAGAUUGGGAAGAAAACCUCGGGGUUAAUACCCUCGAGGCUUGACGGUACCAUCAGAGGAAGCACCGGCUAACUCCGUGCCAGCAGCCGCGGUAAUACGGAGGGUGCAAGCGUUGUUCGGAUUCACUGGGUAUAAAGGGUGCGCAGGCGGUUUGAUAAGUCAGAGGUGAAAUAUGUCGGCUCAACCGGCAAACGGCCCCUGAAACUGUCAAACUUGAGUCCGAGAGAGGUAGGUGGAAUUCCAGGUGUAGCGGUGAAAUGCGUAAAUAUCUGGAGGAACACCAGUGGCGAAGGCGGCCUACUGGCUCGGAACUGACGCUCAGGCACGAAAGCUAGGGGAGCGAACGGGAUUAGAUACCCCGGUAGUCCUAGCCGUAAACUAUGGAUACUAGGUGUUGGAGGAUUCUACCCCUUCAGUGCCGCAGCUAACGCAUUAAGUAUCCCACCUGGGGAGUACGAUCGCAAGGUUGAAACUCAAAGGAAUUGACGGGGGCCCGCACAAGCGGUGGAGCAUGUGGUUUAAUUCGAUGCAACGCGAAGAACCUUACCUAGGCUUGACAUGCAGGGGACAGAUGUAGAAAUACAUCCUUCUUCGGACCCCUGUACAGGUGCUGCAUGGCUGUCGUCAGCUCGUGUCGUGAAAUGUUAGGUUAAGUCCUGCAACGAGCGCAACCCCUGUCUUCAGUUGCCAUCAGGUAAUGCUGGGAACUCUGGAAAGACCGCCGGUGACAAACCGGAGGAAGGUGGGGACGACGUCAAGUCAUCAUGGCCCUUACGCCUAGGGCUACACACGUGCUACAAUCGUCGGUACAAAGGGCUGCAAUACAGCGAUGUGGAGCGAGUCCCAAAAAACCGGCCUCAGUUCGGAUCGUAGUCUGCAACUCGACUACGUGAAGUUGGAAUCGCUAGUAAUCGCGUAUCAGAACGACGCGGUGAAUACGUUCCCGGGCCUUGUACACACCGCCCGUCAAGUCAACCGAGUUGGUUGCACCCCAAGUCGCUGAGCUAACCCCUUCGGGGGAGGCAAGUGCCCAAGGUGUGAUUGGCGAGGGGGACUAAGUCGGAACAAGGUAGCCGUAUCGGAAGGUGCGGCUG
rnacentral:rRNA from 1 species